UUGACCUCGGGCGUACACACGUGCUACAAUAGGUUGGGUUACGAACGAGUUGCGAGGUCGGUGACGGCGAGCUAAUCUCUUAAAGCCAAUCUCAGUUCGGAUUGUAGGCUGCAACUCGCCUACAUGAAGUCGGAAUCGCUAGUAAUCGCGGAUCAGCACGCCGCGGUGAAUACGUUCCCGGGCCUU
rnacentral:rRNA from 1 species